UACGUAGGGCGCAAGCGUUGUCCGGAAUUAUUGGGCGUAAAGAGCGUGUAGGCGGCCAUGCAGGUCCGUUGUGAAAACUCGAGGCUCAACCUCGAGACGCCGAUGGAAACCGCAUGGCUAGAGUCCGGAAGAGGAGAGUGGAAUUCCUGGUGUAGCGGUGAAAUGCGCAGAUAUCGGGAGGAACACCGGUGGCGAAGGCGGUUCUCUGGGCCUUACCUGACGCUGAGGAGCGAAAGCGUGGGGAGCGAACAGG
rnacentral:rRNA from 1 species